AUUGAACGCUGGCGGCAGGCUUAACACAUGCAAGUCGAGCGGAGAGGAGGUGCUUGCACCUUAUCUUAGCGGCGGACGGGUGAGUAAUGCUUAGGAAUCUGCCACUUAGUGGGGGACAACAUCUCGAAGGGAAUGCUAAUACCGCAUACGACCUACGGCAGAAACAAGGGGAUCUUCGGACCUUUCGCUAAAUGAUGAGCCUAAGUCGGAUUAGCUAGUUGGUGGGGUAGAGGCGUACCAAGGCGACGAUCUGUAGCGGGUCUGAGAGGAUGAUCCGCCACACUGGGAGUGAGACACGGCCCAGUGUCCCACAGGAGGCAGCAGUAGGGAAUAUUGGGGAAUGGGGGGAAACCUGAGCCAGCCAUGCCGCGUGUGGGAAGAAGGACUUAUGGUUGUAAAGCACGUUAAGCGGGGAGGAGGCCACUGAGACUAAUAAUCUUGGAUAGUGGACGUUACUCGGUGAAUAAGCACCGGCUAACUAUGUG
rnacentral:rRNA from 1 species